rnacentral:rRNA from 1 species
AUGCUGGAGGCGAUGCACACCAUGGUCAUGAUCUUCGCGGACCGCGAGCCGGCCAUGUGGUGCCCUGCGGGGGACGGCCUGUGCGGCGACCGCUGCGCCGGCGCCGCGGCCGGGUGGGAGUGGGAGCAGGGGAGCGGCUCGUCGACGGUGGCCAAGUGGGGCCUCGUCUGCGGCGAGCGCUACAAGGUCGGCCUCGUCCAGGCCAUCUACUUCGCCGGCUGCAUGAUGGGAUCCGGUGUCUUUGGACACCUGUCAGAUUCUUUUUUAGGUCGGAAAGGUUCCCUCCAGUUAGUGUGCUUCCUUAGUGGAGGCUUCGGCCUUCUCACCUCGCUCUCCCCCAACUAUUGGGUCUAUGCGGCCUUCCGCCUACUCACGGGCUUUAGUGCCGGAAGCAUUUGCUUUUGCUCCUUCGUCCUUGCCACGGAACCUAUUGGGCCAUCCUAUCGAGGCGUCGUUGGCACAUCCACUUGCUAUUUCUUCUCCGGCGGUAUUGCGGCCCUUGCUGGCAUCACAACAUUGUUCCAGUCCUCUUGGCGCAUCCUUUACAUUGUCACCUCUCUGCCAUCCCUCGCAUUCAUGCUCAUCGCCAUGCCAUUCGUCUCUGAGUCCCCGCGUUGGUACCUCGUGCGUUGCCGGACGGAUGAUGCGAUGCGUGUCCUACGAGACAUAGCAUCCACCAAUGGCAAGAGCAUCCCACAUUGCGUGGGGCUCAUGCUCGACGAUGAGGACAACAUCGCCAAGAAGGUUGUGGAGACGUCGUCGGUCUUAGAUGUGUUUCGGUCGCAGGCAAUGCGGGCUAGGCUCGUUCUCUUAGUUAUCAUCACCUUUCUUUGCUCAGUGGUGUACUUUGGGUUGACCCUCAAUGUGGUCAACCUAAAAUCAACCUUUACAUCAGUGUGGUUGUUAACUCUCUUGCUGAGAUGCCUGCAUACCUAG